AGUCGUGGGGAGGUAUUCGCUCGGGGAAAAAUAUUCCGAGAGGAAAGUCCGGACACCAUAGGGUAGAAUUCCAGAUGAAAAUCUGGGCGGCGCGGGUCAAGCCGCGUUGACGGAAAGUACAACAGAAAGCAUACCGCCCGCGCAGGUGGGUAAGGGUGAAAGGGUGCGGUAAGAGCGCACCGCGGAGAGAGUAAUCUUGCCGGCAUGGCAAACCCAAUUCGGUGCAAGACAAAUAGGGGGCGGAGUUACCCGCUCGCACGCCCCGGGUAUGGUCGCACCCGCUUCGGCGGGAGUGUUCGAAAGGGCGCUAGAUAAAUGAAUACCACGGCAACGUGUGUGCCGUACGGAAUCCGGCUUAUACCCCACAUUUUUUC
rnacentral:RNase_P_RNA from 1 species